CCUAAUAAAACUUGAUAUAACAUCUUUUAUCUUGUUCUGCGUGAAGAGAAAAAGAUCGAGAAAGAGGGGCAAUUAAGAAGAUGGGUUUGUCACAUGAUGCUGCUCCGACUUUCAAAUUCUAUGGGGUUCCUCAUGGCUCAACUGGUAUGCCUUUCUAUUACAAUUAUUUGCAAUAUUCUUUAUUUUUCUCAUGAUUUUGAGUGGAAUUGCGAAAGGUGUUGAUUUUAAUCUUGUUUGUUUGUGUGUAUUUGUUUGUUUGUUUAAUCCCUGUGUUUUGUUUGGUUUUUGAUGUUUUGGGCGAUUUUUCGUGUUACAUGUGAUACGCUUCGUUGUUCGCUUCGCAUACGACGAGGCAACUUGAUCGAUAGCAUAGCGGUGGUGGCCGAUGGUGGCGAUGACGGCGGUUUCAGGACGAGAUCCGGUUUCAGAAAGGAAAGCGCGCUAAUUGUGCCUUAAUUGAGGGCGGAUUCUUGGAAGAAGGCCGGUUUUCUUUUCGGACAUUAAAGUUUUAUUGUCUAAAUUUCCCCGGUCAUCUUGCAUGUCCGACGGUUAGAUAAUAAGCUUUCUUGAAUGAAAGAAUUAUCACGGUGAAUUGCCGAUUCUCGUUGA